rnacentral:rRNA from 1 species
GCGUGGCAUACGGCUCAGUAACACGUAGUCAACAUGCCCAGGGGACGUGGAUAACCUCGGGAAACUGAGGAUAAACCGCGAUAGGUCAUCACUUCUGGAAUGGGUAAUGACUUAAAUCUAUAUGGCCCUUGGAUUGGACUGCGGCCGAUCAGGCUGUUGGUGAGGUAAUGGCCCACCAAACCUAUAACCGGUACGGGCUCUGAGAGGAGGAGCCCGGAGAUGGGCACUGAGACAAGGGCCCAGGCCCUAUGGGGCGCAGCAGGCGCGAAACCUCUGCAAUAGGCGAAAGCUUGACAGGGUUACUCUGAGUGAUGUCCGUUAAGGGCAUCUUUUGGCACCUCUAAAAAUGGUGUAGAAUAAGGGGUGGGCAAGUCUGGUGUCAGCCGCCGCGGUAAUACCAGCACCCCGAGUGGUCGGGACGAUUAUUGGGCCUAAAGCAUCCGUAGCCGGUUCUGCAAGUCUUCCGUUAAAUCCACCUGCUCAACAGAUGGGCUGCGGGGGAUACUACAGGGCUAGGAGGCGGGAGAGGCAAGCGGUACUCGGUGGGUAGGGGUAAAAUCCUCUGAUCCACUGAAGACCACCAGUGGCGAAGGCGGCUUGCCAGAACGCGCUCGACGGUGAGGGAUGAAAGCUGGGGGA